rnacentral:rRNA from 1 species
GUUAGUCGGGACCUAAGCCGAGGCCGAAAGGCGUAGGCGAUGGACAACAGGUGGAUAUUCCUGUACCACCUCCUUUCCGUUUGAACGACGGGGGGACGCAGAAGGAUAAGGAAUGCGCACUGCUGGUUAUGUGCGUUCAAGCAGUAAGAGAGUCAGAUAGGCAAAUCCGUCUGGCAAUCUCAAGCUGUGAUGAGGAGGGAAAAUUAGUACCGAAGUUCCUGAUUUCACACUGCCAAGAAAAGCCUCUAGUGAGGAAAGAGGUGCCCGUACCGCAAACCGACACAGGUAGGCGAGGAGAGAAUCCUAAGGUGAUCGGGAGAACUCUCGUUAAGGAACUCGGCAAAAUGACCCCGUAACUUCGGGAGAAGGGGUGCUUCUUUUGCGAGAAGCCGCAGUGAAUAGGCCCAAGCGACUGUUUAGCAAAAACACAGGUCUCUGCGAAGCCGUAAGGCGAAGUAUAGGGGCUGACACCUGCCCGGUGCUGGAAGGUUAAGGGGACGCGUUAGCCCUCGUGGCGAAGCGUUGAACCGAAGCCCCAGUAAACGGCGGCCGUAACUAUAACGGUCCUAAGGUAGCGAAAUUCCUUGUCGGGUAAGUUCCGACCCGCACGAAAGGUGCAACGACUUGGGCACUGUCUCAACGAGAGACCCGGUGAAAUUAUACUAUGCGUGAAGAUGCGCAUUACCCGCGACAGGACGGAAAGACCCCGUGGAGCUUUACUGUAGCCUGAUAUUGAAUGUUGGUACAGCUUGUACAGGAUAGGUGGGAGCCUUAGAAACCGGAGCGCUAGCUUCGGUGGAGGCGCCGGUGGGAUACCACCCUGGCUGUACGGACCUUCUAACCCAGGACCGUGAUCCGGUCCGGAGACAGUGUCAGGUGGGCAGUUUGACUGGGGCGGUCGCCUCCCAAAGAGUAACGGAGGCGCCCAAAGGUUCCCUCAGAAUGGUUGGAAAUCAUUCGCAGAGUGUAAAGGCAGAAGGGAGCUUGACUGCGAGACCUACAAGUCGAGCAGGGACGAAAGUCGGGCUUAGUGAUCCGGCGGUGCCGUAUGGAAGGGCCGUCGCUCAACGGAUAAAAGCUACCCCGGGGAUAACAGGCUUAUCUCCCCCAAGAGUCCACAUCGACGGGGAGGUUUGGCACCUCGAUGUCGGCUCAUCGCAUCCUGGGGCUGUAGUCGGUCCCAAGGGUUGGGCUGUUCGCCCAUUAAAGCGGUACGCGAGCUGGGUUCAGAACGUCGUGAGACAGUUCGGUCCCUAUCCGUCGUGGGCGUUGGAAGUUUGAGAGGAGCUGUCCUUAGUACGAGAGGACCGGGAUGGACACACCGCUGGUGUACCAGUUGUUCCGCCAGGAGCAUAGCUGGGUAGCUACGUGUGGAAGGGAUAAGUGCUGAAAGCAUCUAAGCAUGAAGCCCCCCUCUAGAUGAGACUUCCCAUCAUUUCAAAUGAGUAAGAUCCCUCAGAGACGAUGAGGUUGAUAGGUCCGAGGUGGAAGCGUGGUGACACGUGCAGCUGACGGAUACUAAUCGAUCGAGGACUUAACUUA